rnacentral:rRNA from 1 species
AGAAUCAACGCUGGCGGCGUGCCUAACACAUGCAAGUCGAUCGAGAAAGUGGAGCAAUCCAUGAGUAAAGAGGCGCACGGGUGAGUAACACGUGACUAACCUACCCUCGAGUGGGGAAUAACCUGGGGAAACCCGGGCUAAUACCGCAUAACACCUACGGGUCAAAGGAGCAAUUCGCUUGAGGAGGGGUCGCGGCAGAUUAGUUAGUUGGCGGGGUAAUGGCCCACCAAGACGAUGAUCUGUA